rnacentral:rRNA from 1 species
AGGGUGUAAACGCUGCAGACUUGGUGUUGGAGGCCCUUUGGGGGCGAUUCUAGUGCCGGAGAGAAGUUGUUAAGUCUGCUACUUGGGGAGUACGUCCGCAAGGAUGAAACUUAAAGGAAUUGGCGGGGGGAGGCACCGCAACGGGAGGAGCGUGCGGUUUAAUUGGAUUCAACACCGUAAACUCACCAGGGAAGACUGUUACAUGAAAGCCGAGAUGAAGACUCUGCUAGAUUUUCAGAGAGGUGGUGCAUGGCGUCAGUGACU